rnacentral:tRNA from 1 species
UUUAAGGUAGUUUAAAAAAAAUAUUGAUUUGAAGUGUCAAGGAUAGGUUCAUCCUUCUUAUAAA